UUACGGCCAUCACACGUUGAAACACCGGUUCCCGUACGAUCACAGAAGUUAAGCAACAUCGAGUCAGUACCUUGAUGGGUGACCGCUUGGG